rnacentral:rRNA from 1 species
CCUACGGGAGGCAGCAGUGAGGAAUAUUGGUCAAUGGACGAGAGUCUGAACCAGCCAAGUAGCGUGAAGGAUGACUGCCCUAUGGGUUGUAAACUUCUUUUAUAUGGGAAUAAAAUGUUCCACGUGUGGGAUUUUGUAUGUACCAUAUGAAUAAGGAUCGGCUAACGCCGUGCCAGCAGCCGCGGUAAUACGGAGGAGCCGAGCGUUAUGCGGCUUUAUUGGGUUUAAAGGGAGCGUAGGGGGAUUGUUAAGUCAGUUGUGAAAGUUUGCGGCUCAACCGUAAAAUUGCAGUUGAAACUGGCAGUCUUGAUUACAGUAGAGGUGGGCGGAAUUCGUGGUGUAGCGGUGAACUGCUUAGAUAUCACG